GUGGAUUAGAUACCCUGGUAGUCCACGCCCUAAACGAUGUCAACUAGGUGUUGGAAGGGUUAAACCUUUUAGUGCCGUAGCUAACGCGUGAAGUUGACCGCCUGGGGAGUACGGCCGCAAGGCUAAAACUCAAAGGAAUUGACGGGGACCCGCACAAGCGGUGGAUGAUGUGGAUUAAUUCGAUGCAACGCGAAAAACCUUACCUACCCUUGACAUGUCAGGAAUCCCGGAGAGAUUUGGGAGUGCUCGAAAGAGAGCCUGAACACAGGUGCUGCACGGUCGUCGUCAACU
rnacentral:rRNA from 1 species